GUUUGUGUAACCAAGCAAGUAAAGUGUAGUUAUCAAUAAGAGUCAUUAAUUAUUAAUUACUUAAUCAUUAGCUACUUUUUUGUGCCACCUUGUGUAAAAUCAUAUAUUAUACUGAGUAGUUGUUAAGUAGUCAUUAAAUACUAUUAAUUAUCUCUCAAUUGUCAUCCAUCAUAUUGAGUAGUUACCAAGUGUAAUCACUAAUUACUCAUUAGUUACUAUGUUGUGCCCCCUCAAGUACACAUUUGUUUAAAGUACCUAAAAAAAGUGCCAACAUAAAGAAGUAACGUCAGAUAAAUGUCAAGGUGUCCGGGCCUUAAACGCACCUCCGAGGUGCGCUAUACAUCCGGGCACUGCAGUAAAGCCAACCACGCAUGCGCCAAAGCGCCCCCCCGCCCAGCCGCCAUCCUGGACCCUGGGUGUCAUGGCUACAACACUUCACCACAAUAACGGGAACUACCAUGCUGCGUUUAAUCAUUAACAUCGUCCCGUGUCGGCGUCUUGAAACAUUUUAUGGAGCCCAGUCUCACUUCAGGAUGUUGGGCUCGUUGAUAAGGAAACUGCAGCCUGCGCUGAAACGGACUCAGGUGAUGUGGAGCCACAAGAAGCAGAUCCGUGCGGCAUCGUCGGCGUCUUUUCAAUUACUCGAGGACAGUCUCGAGCUUCACUAUGGAGGGACACCGAUGCGUUUUAACUACGUGUGGCUGCGGGACCACUGCCGCUCCGCCGCCUCCUACAACCCGCAGACCAACCAGAGGAACGUGGACACCGGGAGCAUCGACCUCAGCAUCCGGCCGGACAGCACCAGUGUGCGGGAUGGUCACCUCGUCCUCACAUGGCCGGAUGGUCACGUGUCAGAGUACAGCCUGAGCUGGCUCGCCGACCACAGCUAUGAAACAAAGAAGCAGAGCGCCGUCCAGCCUCGCAUCCUCUGGAACUCGGACAUCUAUAAAAACCCAAACAUACCUUCUGCAAAAUGGGACACGUUCAUGAACAGUGAUGACGAACUGAAGAAGUUCCUUCAAGACUACGUCCUGUACGGGAUCGCGUUUGUAGAUGGCGUCCCAGCUACAGUGGAGGCCACAGAGGCCGUCACCCAGAGGGUCAGUCUCAUCAGGGAGACUACAUAUGGAAGAAUGUGGUCUUUCACUUCAGAUUUUUCCAGAGGAGACACUGCGUACAGCCAGCUGGCUCUGGACCGUCACACUGACACCACAUACUUUCAGGAGCCAUGUGGAAUCCAGGUUUUCCACUGCCUCAAGCACGAGGGAACAGGCGGCAGGACACUACUUGUCGAUGGCUUCUAUGCGGCCGAAAAGGUUCGCCAGCGGUCUCCUGAAAACUUUGAGCUGCUCGCCAAUAUUCCCAUCAGGCACGAGUACGUGGAAAACACAGGCAACCACCAAAACCACAUGACGGGGAUCGGCCCGGUGCUCAAUGUGUAUCCUUGGAACAACGAACUUUACCUUAUCCGAUACAACAACUUUGACCGCUCAGUGAUAAACACAGUCCCCCAUGACGUUGUUCAGCGGUGGUACGUGGCACAUCGAGAGUUAACGACAGAAUUAAGGCGGCCAGAGAACGAGCUGUGGGUGAAACUCAGUCCAGGCAAAGUGAUUUUCAUAGAUAACUGGCGUGUCCUGCACGGGAGGGAGUCGUUCACCGGCCUGAGGCAGCUCUGCGGAUGCUAUCUGACCAGAGACGACAUCCUGAGCACCGCACGCUGCUUCGGCCUGCAGGCCUGAUCCUGGGCGUGAAGGAUGGGCCUCCUCGUCUUGGUCUGAUCCAGUCUGGUCCAGGUGUACUUGGGCUGAGGGCUCCCACGCUCGCUGUGGCAGGUCAGAGUGACCAGGUGACCCGACUCCACAUCCCCGUGGACGGAGCAGUACGGAGAAGAGGGCCUCUCUGAAAAAAACACCACAACAGGAAGAAGGUGUCAGUUCGACCGUCAGUCCUUUACACCAACUACAAGGCGAGAGCUCUGACAACAACCUGCAAAAGUGACGGUGAGUACCUGAUUUUUUUUUCCUGCAACAUCGUGCGCUAUUUACCUUUUGGGGACUAAUAGCAUAAAAAUAAAUUGGCGGAGAAAGUCAAAUUAAACGACGUUGAAUUAGUCCUCAAAGGGCAAAUGAAAAGACAUUACGUUUUUCUUUACUGUAUAAGCCUUUAUUUGUAAAAAGUCUGUUGUUUGAAUGAUAACCCUUUUGAUACCACAUACUUGAACACCUUGUAUUUGUAAAAAACACAUUUUGUUCAAACACCUAAAAAAGCUGAUUGACACUAUAACAUUAAUUUUGCACUGACAAAAAAAAUACAACUUCAUACUACACAAAUGUUGAUUCCAUGAGUCCUCGUACUCCGAAUGAAACCAAACACCUUAUUAAACAACUGAAUCGAAUAAGCGCCCAAUGUGAACAAAACAAUUACAGUACAAAAAACCAAAUGCAUUUUUUCUUCCAGUGCCAGUAUAUCAGAUGAAAUACAUUUUCCUUCGUAUGAUAAAACAACAACAACAGUAAGAAUAACAAUCCAUAACAAAUGCAACAGAUACAGUAAAUCAGAAAAUGAACACAGAAAUGAAUAAAAUCAGUUACUAAUUCAUACUGAAAAAUAAACGGGCUGUUGGGUUUUUUUUUUUAAGUGGGUUUUCUUUCUUUUUAGUUGCCAAUUUUUUUGUUUACGUUAUUUUUUUUUUUAAUAAAGUGUUGGAAAAUCUUUCUUACCUACUGGUUAAACAUGAGAAAGUCUCCCUGGUAUGCUUCGUUCCAAAGAGGGAGGUAUACUGAUGUGUGUAACUGGGAAUCAGCACAGCUUCUUGCAAGGAUCAUCAUACAGUAAUCGACAACAGACCAUAACCAGAGGCAACUUAUUAAAGAGAAAAAUACAGGGAACACCCACUCAGUGUGCAAUCACAUGGCUUACGUUCAGAUGCUACUGGUGAGCAUCCUUUACAUCCUUUUGUAGUUGAAGGGCGACUGAUGUCAAUGCUUAUGCUGAACCUGAUAAAACUACAGCAUGCACUUGGUGCAUCUAUUCCAAAUUGCGUGAUUUACAGUAAAUACAUUGUAUAGAAGGACAUAUCCGUGACUCGCGCGAAUCACACGAUGCACACGUCCUUGACAUUUUCCUUCCAGUUUUUUUUUUUUUUUUUUUUUUUUUUAUGAACAGUUUGUUUCACAAAGAUUUUUAUAGAGCUGGCUGUAAAACAAGUGCAAUUUGAGCAUGUAAACAACUGGAUCUUUCUUUUUCCUGGCCGUGGAGAUGAAUCAGAUGGCGUGGAGUUCAAAAUAGAUGAAAAUAAAAACCUUCCAAAACUCAGGUCAUGCAAAACAAAACCUACAAGGUGCAUACAAAAUAAUGAACGCACCCAGCGAAAGUUCGUCCAACAGUGAGGAGUCUGUCAGCCUUGUUCUGGUGUUUCGUGGAUGAGAUCGUCUUGCACGGUCGUGAUCCACUCUUUUUUUUUUUUUUUCCGUCGGAGGUCGGCCUCCGUGCUAUUUUCUCAAGUCGCACUACAGUUUUGUGUUCACAGGUUCAGCCCAUCGCUUGAUGAAACACUCCGACAUUUGGAGCCCGGAGUCAACAAAAAAGUGUCAUAAUACUAUAAUUACUGGGUGUAACUGACUUGUGCAGGACCGCGGGCCAUUAGUGGAGCUGUUUUUCUAUCUUUACAUUUAUCCCGGGAACACAUUUUCAGAGAAUUCCCCUCAACGUAGCUAAAGAUAUUUACUUCUGGGAGCUAGCCUGCACAGACUUCUAUUGUUAGCGAGUGAGCAGCUGCACUAGGGCAAUUGGCUAAGUACCUUGCUCAAGGGCACACAUGACUGUCUUAUUGAGGAGCAGGAAAGAACAUCCCUCUCGCCUUCUUAAGGCUAUCCCGCUCCUCUAGCCUCUAUAAGCCAGCUAGCCGAUCAUGCCCUUCUUUUUUUUUUUUCUAGCAGAUUCAUGAACUAUGACUGAGGUAAACACUGCAGCUAUAACUGUGCUGAAAUCUCCCGUAAAUACUAAGCUAGGAUAUGGUAAAUGGGGCCACCAUCCCAUCCCAUCCCCGCUGACAGUGAACCAAGGCAUACUGUAAUAUUUGUUGUUUUUUUUUUGUUUUUUUUUUAAGGAAUCUUCAACAGCAUUAGCGUUAGCCUUAAAAAAAAAAAAAAAAGGAAAAAAAAAGGUGAACCAAUACAAGCUCAGAGCCACCAGGAAACUCCGUCACUGCGAGAGGACUUUGCAUCGAUUUCUCCAUUAUUUUGUCCACACCGUGUAUUUCUUGUGUUUCAUUUUUUAGGUUUCGUUUGCAGAAGUAUGCCAAUGCUAGAGAAGCUGUCCAUGCCAUUAGCAGUGAGGCUAGCUGGUAUUACGAACUGCCAUGUUUUUUGUUCAUGCAUUAAGAACUAUUAAGUGAAAGAUAUCAUAUUUACAGUACAAUUCACAUGUAAUUACACAUAUACACUAGAGGCAAGAAAAUUCACAUUGAAAUCAGUUCAACACUUUUUUUCUCCUCCUCCUCUACUCCUUGAACAUAUGUGUCAAAAAAAAAAGAAAAUCUAUUUUUCUCUCUUAAAGAAGCAAAUAUCCUAAAAGGAAAAUCAAAAAAAAAAAAAGCAUAGAACAGAAGAUCCUCACAGCUUUUGGGAUGAAUGUGCUGAUUUCAUGUCCAGAAAAAGCAGGUAAUACAUGUUACUGAGUGAGAUGAGUGAUGUUUACCGCGAGCAUGCAAGGGCUGCUAAUGUUUUUUUUUUUUUUACUUGGAGUUCAUUAAAGAUCAACUAAUCUCAAAAGAAUUGACACCUGAAUAGGCAUGUUCGUAUUCAUUUCUGGGAGCUGAAGAUUGACCUGAACAAAAUUUUUUGCGUUACAAAAUUUAAGUGCAUUUCAUUGAAACCACAGAGUAGAUGGAUUAGUCUUCUUUUCCGGUCAAACACGAUCCAUUGAUUUGGUUAAAAAUAACACUUAAAGUUGCCUUAAGUCCCACAUGUUUUUCUUCUUUUUUUUUGUUUUUUACAAACAGUAUGUGCUCGUCUCGCACCGGAACAAAACAGUAUCCUCUGGCGUCACAGUCUGACUCAGCUCUUAGUAGAGAUCCAUCAUAUUGCCUUGUAACAGUUUGACAAGCUGUUAGUGUGCAAACUGGGAUGAAAUGAUGCAAAACAAAAGAAACAAACUAAAUCAAUAGAACAGAUACACUCUGGAAAGCGUAACACUUCGAUGAACUCGCAUUCAUUAUCCACCAACUUCUACCACCUUCCUUUAUGCUUUCAAAAAAGGACAAGGUUAGCUGACACAUGAAUGUGAUGCCACCUCAAAAGUGCCUGAAUACCCCCUGAAAUCCAACAUGUGACGCAUCAAAUGUAAAACAGUUUUCAUGUUAGAAUUGCAGGGACGAAUUAAAGUGGACUCCACCGAUUUCACACACCAAAAUUCUGUCUACAGGUCGCGAGGAGAGCUACUGGACAUGCUAAAAACAUUGUUUAAAAGCCUGAAUUCAUGCUUCAUCAGGUCUGUCGGCCAGAAGACAAGCAACAGAGAUCAGAUCGAUGUGAGCUAUACUGUGCUGUGCUGAGGCAUAUUUCCAAAACUUACCAGGUAGUCAUACUUUCUACCUCCACAGUGGCAACUUAUUUUGUCCUGUCUUGGACAACAUGUGUUAUCUGGGUGUCCGCAAACGGCCAUGAUUACUGGUUACUAUCCUCGCCUCCAUUGCUGUUCAUGAAUGUCCGGACAUCAGCGACGGGAACGUCAAUGACGGUAGGCUUUCGCGACACAGCGUCAUCUCGUUUGGUCUGCACACAGCUUAACGAACCCCCGAUUUAGGUGAAUACGUGGACUAACAAAGACAAAGGGUGUGUUCGUACGUAGCCACUCGCUAAAUGUACCAACUGCGGACUGAGUGGUACACCGACCGAAACAAUAAAUAAGAGAACGUUGGGCUGUUUGUGUGUUUAGCUAAUGCUAACAGCAAGCUAGUAGCCUGCAUUUCUAAAACUUAUUUUCAAAAGGCAUAUCGUUGCACAAGAGGCGCUACAUUUGUAUUAUAGUACACGUAUCAACAGGCGAGUUUUUUCCCGUCGCCCAUUAUUAUCACAGUUUAUCCGUUACGUCAUUUUCAGUAUCGAGCAUCAGAUUGGUUUUAUGAACACGCCCAAUAUUUUCUGGCUCUGCUGCAUCAAUUUGGACCCUUUUCACAAGUGCAACAACUUUUUAGGAGUCCAAUAUAAUCGGUGGAGAACGCUUUAAAAACUGGUAUUGGGCUUUUUUAACCGAGGUGUGGCGACUGCAUGUUGAAACAACUGAUGCUACUGUUUUCAGUCUCAACUCACAUCCAUUUGGCAACUUUUGAAAGAACUCCGUAUUUGUGCACGAUAACAUAUACCACCUUUUUUUUUUUUUAAAUUUUAGCCAUUACUCUUACCAGUCACAGUAUAAUACUGAAUAUGUAUUCUCUAAAUAACACAACAGAACCUGCUCCCAAAGGCCAUUUUCUCACGAUAUUCACUGCUACUUUAAGUUCAUUUUGGCACUUGUUGACUCUCUCAUAAAUAACAACAGCUUAACCUCCCUUUUCACAUUUAAGAGUAAAAUCACUAUGUUUUGGUCGAGAAAUCCUUUGGACCUCACAGUUGACUGAGAGACAAACGACAGAUUGUUCAGCUGCAGACGGAAACAUUAAACCUCCGCUCGGUACGUCUUCCUGCUCCUCUCGCCCACCUUAGACAACUUCCCGUAAAUCUUUGUGGACAACCGGAUGUAUUUUUUUCCUCUCUUUUUAUCUUCUACAGGACAAUGACGACGAUGAUGCAUAAGAUUUAAAACGAAAAGAAAAUACUCAACUCUGAUCACAGCUCGGGUCACGUCACUGUACAAACUUCACGAUGACUUACAGAGACAAAUUGGUUUCUCGUCGGCGUUCCUUUUUUUGAAGACAUCCGGUGCGCGCUACACCUUUCCAGAGGGGACGUUUCUGAUGAUAAACUGAAAGCUCCUGCAGCCCUGCCAUCUUCCUCUUGUCCCCACGGAUCUGUGAAUGACAAUUUCCCCCCUUUUUUUGUGCAUUUGUAUGUUUCUCGGGGACCACACUGCGCCGCGUCGUCUAAUGAGCCAAUCACUUUUCUUCUUUUUUUCUUUUUUUUUUGCUACAGGGCACGAUGGUAGAUUUGCUCCGUGCCUUGUGAGCGCCUGAAGGGAAGACAACACAGAGGAGGAUGCUGAUCUACACCACGGCUGGAGCUAAAAAACAGGCAGUCAAGGUUUUUUUUUUGUUUUUUUUGCUCUCUCUCGUGUCUUCCUCACAAAGUCCACCGUCCAUCUGGAUCUAACUUUGUUUCUUUAAAGGUGCUUUAUGUGAGAAUUUUAGUUUAACGUUCUCAAAAAAAAAAAAAAAAA